CCACUAAGCAAGGGGCACCACCAAGCAAGCGGCACCAUGAAGACCAAGGGGCUCUCCAAACAGACUGCAGUGAUAUCCCGGCCAAGCUGCAUAUCAGAAUGUGUGUCAUACCUUCAAAAUGGUCUUCCAGGCUAAAUGUACUUCGCACCGGGAAAAUGUGUAAUGUUCUAACCUGGGAAACAUGCUGGAAAGUUGACAGCUUCCAACGUUUUGAAUAGAAAAUGCCAUUCAAGACGGUCGUAAGCCUUUUCGGAAUCAACAGCCAUUAUUGAUAGAUCUACAUCUUAUUUGUUUAUUGUAUAUUAACUGAAACAUGUUCCUGUAUUUGUAAGUGUCAAUUUUUAAUAAACCCUGUUUGAUAGA